GUGUGUGGGUUGAUGGCUCUAUGGCGGCGGCAGUGGCAGUCACAGUCUCCGGCAUCAUGAGUGGCUUCAGCAGCGAGGAGCACGCCACACCCUUCACCCUCGAGUACUAAGUCUUCAUCAGAAAUGAAAAAGGACAAUAUAUAUCUCCAUUUCAGGAUAUUCUGAUUUCUGUAGAUAAGGUUAUGUUCCAGAUGGUAGUUGAAGUACUAUGUUGGUCUAAUGAGAAAAUGGAGAUUGCUACAAAGGACCCUUUAAGUCCAAUUAAACAGGAUGUGAAAAAAGCAAAACUUCGUUAUGUUGUGAAUUUGUUCCCUUAUAAAGGAUAUAUUUGGAGUUAUGUGGCCUCAGACUUGGGAAAACCCAGGACAUAAUGAUGAACAUACUGGCUGUUGUGGUGACAGUGACCCCAUUGAUGUGUGUGAAAUUGGAAGUAAGGUAUGCACAAGAGGUGAAAUAAUCUGGGUAAAAGUUCUGGGCAUAUUGGCAAUGAUUGAUGACGGGGAAACUGACUGGAAAGUCAUUGCCAUUAAUGUGGACACUCUUGAUGCUGUGAUAUUUAUGAUGUCAAACAACUAAAAUCUGGCUACCCAGAAGCUACUGUAGACUGGUUUAGAAGAUACAAAGUUCCAGAUGGAAAACCAGAAAAUGAGUUUGCUUUCAAUGAAGAAAAAAAAAAUAAGGACUUUGCAGUUGAUAUUAUUAAAAGCAUUUAUGACUGUUAGAAAGCAUUAGUGACUAAGAAAAUGGAUGGGGAAAGAAUCAAUUGCAUGAAUACAAUAAUGUCUGAGAUCCCCUUCAAGUAUGAUCCUGAUACUGCCAAAGCCAUGUGGAUGCUCUGCCACCACCACGUGAAUCUGCCUGCAUACUACCAAUGGCUGUGGAUAAGUGGUUCCAUCACCAGAAAAACUAAUGAGAUUUCUCUGGAAUAUCAGCUAAUAUUUCUGCAUUCUAUUCAUCUGGAAGUAUUAAGUAUAAAAGUAGUAGCUUCUCCAAGCUUUAAAUAUGUAGAACUCAUCUAACUAAAGCAAAUUCUGCUGUGAACAAUCCAAUAUAUUCAGAAUGUUAUCUGUCCAAAGUAUUUUUCAUAUGUCAACUAAGAUAACUUUAGUACAUUCUUAAAUAUAAAAGCAGUUGUAAUUUGGAUAUUAUUUGUGAAUAGAUGCAUAAGAAAAGCACAUAUUGGAUAUACAUGUUUACUGUAUGUUAGGAAAUAAAAUUAUUGUAUUGA